AGAAAGAAAAAGAAAGAAGGAGAGAGGGAAGGAGGGAUGGACAAACCAAGGCUAACUUGGACCAAGCCCUCUGGGAGGACAGCUAGGAUCCUGAGAAGCCUACAAGAUGUGUGUUGAUCUGAUGACAUUAAAUACAAACCCUGACAUUUCUUUAAUUUUUUUCUUUUGUCGUGCCACAAAAAUUGAGGCAACUCAAAAGAGAGAUAUGAUAAAUCAAAAACUUACAAAUAAAAAGAUAGCAAGCUCGAGGAAAAGAGCAAUACACUAGAACGACAGGAUCGGAGGAAAGCACACUUUGGGGUCAUCCACGCUUAGGAAAGGAAAGGUGAGCUCCCUCCUGGACUACACAGUCUUUGGGGCCCUCUGCUCGCCAGACUUGCAGCAGCUGGACAUCUACACAGAGUGAGCCCCCAAAGAGGAGAGUACAGCAGACGCACUGUGGGGUAUCCGUCCGUGCAGCCCAUAACGACCCCUUUUCUUCUGCAUCUGUCAGGGGGCUUGCGGUAUGACAGUCAACUGUGCUGGGGUGAACCUCUGGCCCAAGGGGAGCAGGGCAGAAUCUCUCUCCCAGACAUUCAGAACCGGGCCUGAGAGCCGGCUUCUCGGAGCAGAGUGCACUCCUUAGUUGGGGCCUUAGAGCUCACUUGUAUUUUGUAAGGCUCCUGGUGCCUUCAGAAAUAAAGAAACAAGGUUACAAAAAUGAUGGUAUGUUUUUUAAUGUUUAUAUUGAACAAAUUAAUGCUUUUAACCCCAAAACUAGAGUGCCACAAAAAUGUUCUGUUCACAAGAUAAUUACAGGAUUUAUUAAAAAUAUUAAUUCAGGGUGCACUACAGGCGGUGUGGUCCAGAGCCAAACGGCCUGUGCCAACCUCCUGCUCCCCUCCCGCCACAUGCCCCUGAGGCUGUGAACUCUGGGAUGAGCUGGAAGCAGGAGGAAACUCAAGUGUGGCUGGCAGCAGGCAGACAAGGGGAGCUCCUACUCCUGCCUCUCCACCCUUUCCAGGGCUCAGUUCCAGGUCCUUCUGAGGCCCACUGACCUGGCCCCACGAGACACCUUCAUUUCCUUCCAGUGAGGUCCUCGUCCCUCCUUCACUAACUCCGCUUGAUGUGGAUUUCCACCAUCGGCAACCAAAAGAACUUUGCCAGAGACAGCUCGCAGAUAGCCCAGGUUCUUAUUUUUCACGGGAGGUGUGUUUUUUCACUCGCGAUGAAAUCCCCUCCCAGGGAGAAAGGGAAUUUUCAGCUUCCGCGGCCCUAGCCUGCAGAGAGUUCAUGCGUAUUCUCCCAAGGUGGAGGAGGCUUGUUUAAAAGAUGCUGAGUGGCAGGGAGAAUGUCACCUCAACAUCCCUCCGCCAAAGCCGGGAGAGGUUUGGCUGCGUCUCAAGGACGCCGGUUCAGACAAGGGCAGGCCUGGCUGCCUUACUGAGAGCCAGAGUCAUUUUCCUGGUGCUGGAGAAUGUUGGGGAGCCUUGGGGUCCUGUUUCAAGGCCUCUCCCCGAGCGGGAUGGUCCUAAAACCGGUUUCAGAGGGGAAGAUAGCGAGGUGAGGUAUCUGGCCUCUAAGCGGCUGCUUGGCUGACUUUCCUCCGUGGAAAGAUAGAACAGUGGAAGCUGGUUACGCUUAUGGAUCGUAUUUCCCCAUGGUUCCCACGGUGCCUACCAGUGAGCCUUAAAUAACACAGACACGCAGUAGCUCUUUGUGGUCCCCACUGCUGUGGCAACAUAAAGCCUUUUUCCUGUGCUCUUUGCUUAGGCAGCUGUGGGAGAAUGUUCCAGGACGCUCCUCCUCCCCUCCUAGUGCAAGUGGGAAUUCAUUCAUUUAGUCAACAAAUAUUUCCUGAGCACCUACUUUGUGCUAGGCUCUGUCUGGGUGCUGGGAACACCGGGGUGAUGAAUAAGAUAGCCAUGGCCCUUUCUGUAUCAGAACACACGACUUUUCAAGCCACCUUUUACCACUCACCUCCCAUAUACAUAACAGAAAAACACACAAACAAGAGCAAAUUUUGUCGUAUUUCUCUUGACCCACCAAAGAAUACCAACCAACUCAUUUCAGAGAGAGAGAGAGAGAGAGAAAGAGAGAGAGAGAAAAAGAGGGAGAAGGAGAGAAGCAGUCGCUAGAGAGGAAACUCCCAGUUUUGUGGUAGUCUCCCAGAACAAGGGGCCCAUUUUUGUCAUUCCUUGUUCAAAAAUCCCAUGUCCCCCACUCAACGCACGCACACACGUACAUAUGUUCCCCGCACAGUUUACAUUCAUAACAUGUACAGCUGGAGAGCAGUGAAGUCUGCCUCCCACAUUAUACAGAACGGAUUGGCAGCUGGGACUGAAGGCGAUAGAAAUAAGCUAUUGAUCAAGGGUUAUAACAGUACUGCCACUGGGAGCCCGUGAUGCUUGCAAGCUGAGGGCAGCAGUAAAGUGCUACACAAAUGCAAUAACAUUUAUAACCCCAGGGCAAGUGCUUUUUACAUGAAAAUAAAAAGCUGAUCCUCUGUUUAAUUCUUCCCCCCUCCUUGGGCCGGGCUGGCCAAGCGCUUGGACAGGAGCUAAGCAGGGCCCCUCGGGAUGGCCUGGCCUCUUGCUCUCUGGGAGGGAAGCAGCAGCAGCCGUGUCCUGCCAUCCUGAGGGGCCCAGUCAUGCCUUGGCCCCAUGGGUCUUCCUUGGUCAGCUUUGUGGAUGUUGCCUUGUCCUGUUGGGAGCUGAACUUUUCACUUGAAUGGAUGUUAGAAACUGCUCUUUAGAGCUUCAUUCUGGGACAUCUGUGAAAAGGAGUCCUACUUUCGGGAGACAUAAACGGAGAGGAGAGACAGCUCUGGAGGUAUGAUGAAACAGUAAGCGCGUCAUGAUGACCGAACCUGAGGAACCCAGCUUUUUCUUCCAAAACUCACCGGAUCAGUGCUUUUUUAUUAUUAUUUUUAUUGUUUUUUUAAAGUGUAUUUGUUUUGAGAGAGAAAGAGACAGAGCAUGUGAGUGGGGGAGGGGCAGAAAGAGAAGGAGAGAGAAUCCCAAGCAGGAUCCACACUGCCAGCACAGAGCCUGAUGCAGGAUGUGAAACCAUGAACCGGUGAGAUCCUGACCGGAGCCAAAGUCAAGAGCACGCGCGCCCCUGGACCAAUGCUACUUAACGUGUGCUCACAGGAACGUCAGUCUAUAAGAUGCUCCAUAAAAAUGGGACUGUAUGGCCAGUAAUUGGGACGAUGCUUCCUCUUAGGGAUUCCUAUUGCAUCUUUGCGAUUUAAAGGCUCUGAAAAGUCCUGUAGUAAAUUUUAGGAACAGUUUGAUUUUGUUCUAACAGCAUCUCCCAGGUUUACUUGACUGCCAAAGUGUCCUCUCACUUAGAACUUCUUUCGUCUUUUCCCCCCAUUACCUAAUGCCUCCUAACAGCACAUUUUGGAAAAACGCUGCCAAGGUACUUAUGGAAGGAUAUGAUAUAUUGCCUGCCGUGUAUCGUAUGCCUACCGUGUGCAAGGUGCUUGACAUGAAUUAUUUCUAACCACAAAAACAACUUGGCGAGUGUUAUUAUCCCUAUUUCACAGAUGAGAAAAAUGAGGCUAAAUCACCUGUCCAAGGCCCCUCAGCUAAGUAGUAGGUGAGCCAGGAUGCUCGUGUAGGCCAUUCCGAUUCCAAACUCCACGUUUUCUGUUAUACCCUGUGUCUCCCUAGGUGGACUAGAGACUGACUUCUCCUUUGGCCACAGUGAAGAUAAGUCUCUUCUUUGGAGACCCUUGUCUUGGAACCCAUUCAUUCUUCUGUAAGCCUUGCCUGGUUCAUCGCUCAGCCUGGCUCUAGCCCAUCUCGCCUUCCUUGUGGCUCAUGGGAAUUCCCAUUAGAAAGCAGAACCUGAAUCUAAGUAGCCAUGGGCAGGAGUCCCAGUUUUGCCAUUUACUAUUUAUGCGACUUCAGGCAACUUACCCAACCCCUCUAUACCUCAGUUUUCUUAUCUAUAAAAUUUUAAGUGUGCACAAAACAUCUGGCCUGGAAUGCUUAGUAAAUGGCAGCUGUUAAGUUUACUGUUAAUGGUCAACAGUAAGUCUUCGUUGGGGGGAAAACAAGCACAUGAGGAAGAUUUUAGGGAUCCCUCCUUUAAAUAUGGUAAGACAAGGUGCAGACAUUUUUGUGUUGAAGGCGAAAAAAUUGAAACCCAUUAAGCCAGUGACUUUUUCAAGUGUAUGGGCAGCGACUUGCAGAACUGGGACCCGGGCUCCCAGUUCCCAGAAACCUAAGACACCUGGUGUGUCAAAGAGCUAAAUGCACCUGAGAAGGCGGAGACAUUUAGACUGAAAAUCUUGGGAGCUAUUUCCAAUUGAAGGCCAAUCAGCCCUGAGGAUAAAAUGUCUCUGAAAUUGUAAGUUUGGUAAAAUUAAACAUGGGAAACUUUAGUUUUCAAGAUUAGAUCCAAAAUUAGAUUGGAAGUGGGGCCCACUUGUCUUAAUUACUAUCAUAUUUUGUUUGUUUGCUUGUUUUCUUUUGGCUGUAUACAGUUACUCAUCCCAAAGCAUUUUUCUUUAAAACAACAUUUUUGUAAAUUGACUUAGGUUCUAAUAACAGAUGAGCAUGAGAUCUCUGUGCUAAUGUUGUCAUACUCUCAGUUGGUUUUGCUCUGUGAUCUUUUUAGUUUCGUCUAGGCUGCUGAGGCAGGGACACUCCAGGAUGAAAAGAGCUGUCUUUAGGCACAGUUAGUCACAAAGCUUAGGUUGGAGCAUUUCAGCUUGGGAUGGGUCUGUUCCCAUCAACCCACUGACGUUUAUCAAAGGAAAUGUAAUAUUCAUCCAGAUUGGAAUUGGAAUGAGUUUUUCUUUUCUAUUAGAUGAACGGUGACAACACAAUGUACUUGGAAAAAUAAUAAGUUUGAGCUUCUUCUAAUUGAGGAAGGCAUUAAAAUAAAGUGUUCAUGGCCCUGAGACUCAUGCCCUGCACCCUCGGGGAGUCAAAAGUCCCCAAGUGGCUAUUGGAAAAUGCUUCUUGUUUUCUUUUGUUGUUGUUGUUGUUGUUGUUGUUUUUAAUUCUCACUCUCAAUACACUAGGAGAACAUAAUGUUUCAGGUCCCUACUUCUCAGUGUUAGCUGCAUAUCCACCAAUGCAAUUCUUAGCCCAAAGUCCCUAACCCUCUACUUGUAUUCACUCACCCAGAUGCUGGGAUGAUAGAAGUGGAGUUAUUUUAAAUUCAAUUAAUUCCUCUUUCUUUCACUUACAGCACCAGUCUUCAGUAAACUCGGCCUUUUGCAACUAUUAUCUGACUGGUUCUCUGCAGGCAGAGAGCGAAAGGAGUAGUAUGGCGUGCUCCAUACUCCAAGGAAAGUGAAUUGGCUGGACUUAAAAGGAGGGAAUCAUAUCUAGGCCUUCUGCCUUUUCGUUCCCGCCACUUUGGGGUGUGGUUCUCUGAGUGUUCUAGCUUGGAUGCACACAGUUGAUUAGUUUAACACUAAUGGGUGUCAAGUUCAUCCAGAGAGCAUGACCUCAGUAUGUAAAUUAUUCAGCAACGAGGUUGAUGUGACUAUUUAUAGGUCAUAAAUCAGUUAUAAACUCAGAAAUAUGAGAAUAGGUCCCUAAAUAGAGAAGCAAUUGCUACCUAUCCAAGGCUUAAUUUCAAGAUUCAGGGUUGAAGCCAGACAGAUUUCAUAUCUGAUACCCUUUGAAUUGGGCUUUGGGAGGAGUGGAUAAGGCAGGUGUAUUACUUACAGCAAGAAAUGAGGGGUAAGUUCAGGUAUGACAAAAUGGAUUCAGGUCAUGGCUGCCUAGUGCACUGGGUUGAGAAGGAUUCUGAGGCCAAGUUCAGGCUCUGGGAGUUGGUUAUUCCUAGCUCGGUCGUUUCAUACCCUUUAUUCAUUAGUGACAGAUGUUUCAUGAAAGUGACGACACGGGGUCACGCACGGGUUCACCAAAAUUGUCCUGCUGAACCUUAUAUAUUGAUGCAUCCCCUGCCAUACCAGGCAAGGAAAAAGAAACCAGACUCUUAGAGCACUGCUAUGCCAUUUUCAAGAUUGGGAUGAUGAAGAAGAAAUAGGGACACUCGAAGGUCCAGCUCUGACCAGUCAGGUUGCUGGCUGGAUUUGGGGCAGUUCCUUGCUGUCAUCAUCCAGAGGGGAGGUUUCCCUGCCAUGUCUAGGUUCUGAGACUCAGCCUGCCUCCAUUCUGCUUUAGUAGUGCCCGUUUCUCUCACUCGGGAUCCAAGUCGAUUCAAGUGCACCAUUCCAUCUUAUUUCAGUGUGAAGGAAUGCCAGCCUGACAAUAUACACUUGAGGUCAUUCCUAAAGCUAUAAGUAGCUCCAGCCUCGUAACCUUGGAUAAAGCCCUAAAGGAGUCCCCUUCCUUCAAUGCACAGGCCUUUCAAGGCUCUGACCCCCAGGAUUAUGAUUCCCAUGGCUGCUGCUUCUCUCGUUCCUCUCUCUAGGCCCACAUCAAACAAACAAUCACUCCUAGACCUUACUCUGGUCUCUGAAAAAUCAGGUCACGUCCUGUUUGGAUGCCAGGCACACCCCUGUGGCUUUCUGUUCAGAAGUGCACUAUCUUUACAGCCCCUUGGUUCAUCACCCUGCCUGCCACCUGCAGGUACCCUGCUUCUCGCAGGCUUCAUUUUCCAGCCUUUGCUGGUCCCGGGGCUCAGUGAUAGCACCCCUUAGCUGUUCUGAUUCAGCUCCUCUUCUGUGCAAAAUUUCCCUCUUUUCUAAAAGAAUUCUUGUGAUCUCCAUAACUUCCCUAUUGUCCCUUGGGAAAUCACCCUAAACAGGAAAUCAUUUACAUGUAUGAAGAGCCUAGGUGCCGGCACUCAUCCAAACUUUUACAAGCAUUAUUUCAUUUAUUCCCAGUAACAAUUCUGUUACUAUCCCCGUCUAACAGAUGAGAAGACCGACGCAUGUGCAGUUGUCCAGAAUCACAUAUCAAGUGGUAGAUGGCGAUAUGAUUUUGGCAAUCUGAUUCCAACUUAUCAUUUUGCAAUAUUGCCGUUCGACGAUUCAGAAUCACAUUUGCACCGCAAAGGCAGUUAUCGUCUUGUCUGGGAUAUCUCCACUGUUUUUUUUUUUUUUCAAAUUCAUAAUAACCUUUUUUUAACCCCCUAAUGAUAAAACACAUGUUUAUUACAGGAUUCUCUAACCUUAAAAAAAAAAAAAAAACCCAAUGAUUACAUAAUCGUGUUUGCCUUGUGAAAAUUUACUGCUUUGUACAACCUGUGAUCUGUGCACUUCUCUGUAUGAAUGCUCUACUUUAAUUAAAAAGUUUACAUACAA